CCUACGGGAGGCAGCAGUAGGGAAUCUUCCGCAAUGGACGAAAGUCUGACGGAGCAACGCCGCGUGAACGAUGAAGGCCUUCGGGUCGUAAAGUUCUGUUGUUAGGGAAGAACAAGUGCUAGUUGAAUAAGCUGGCACCUUGACGGUACCUAACCAGAAAGCCACGGCUAACUACGUGCCAGCAGCCGCGGUAAUACGUAGGUGGCAAGCGUUGUCCGGAAUUAUUGGGCGUAAAGCGCGCGCAGGCGGUUUCUUAAGUCUGAUGUGAAAGCCCCCGGCUCAACCGGGGAGGGUCAUUGGAAACUGGGAAACUUGAGUGCAGAAGAGGAAAGUGGAAUUCCAAGUGUAGCGGUGAAAUGCGUAGAGAUUUGGAGGAACACCAGUGGCGAAGGCGACUUUCUGGUCUGUAACUGACGCUGAGGCGCGAAAGCGUGGGGAGCAAACAGGAUUAGAUACCCUGGUAGUCCACGCUGUAAACGAUGAGUGCUAAGUGUUAGAGGGUUUCCGCCUUUAGUGCUGAAGUUAACGCAUUAAGCACUCCGCCUGGGGAUACGGUCGCAAGACUGAAACUUAAAUGAAUUGACGG
rnacentral:rRNA from 1 species